CGGUCCCGCCUCCAUGCCCAUCCCAAGAUGGCGGAGAUCCCCCUGUACUUUGUGGACUUGCAGGAUGACUUAGACGACUAUGGAUUUGAAGACUAUGGUACAGAUUGCGACAACAUGAGAGUAACGGCCUUCUUGGACAUUCCAGGCCAGGAUAACCUGCCUCCACUCACUCGCCUGGAGAAGUAUGCUUUCAGCGAGAACACCUUCAACCGGCAGAUUAUUGCCAGAGGGCUGCUUGAUAUCUUCCGGGACUUCGGUAACAAUGAAGAAGACUUCCUCACGGUAAUGGAGAUUGUAGUCAGAUUGUCAGAAGAUGCAGAGCCCACAGUGCGGACUGAGCUGAUGGAACAGAUUCCUCCUAUUGCCAUUUUUUUACAAGAAAACAGAUCAAAUUUUCCAGUGGUGCUCUCUGAAUAUCUCAUACCUAUUGUAGUGAGGUACCUCACAGAUCCAAACAAUCAGAUAAUCUGCAAAAUGGCUUCAAUGCUGAGUAAGAGUACCGUUGAACGCCUGCUACUCCCCCGAUUCUGUGAACUGUGUGGUGACAGGAAGCUCUUUCAAGUUCGGAAGGUUUGUGCUGCAAAUUUUGGUGAUAUUUGUCAUGCUGUUGGACAAGAAGCCACUGAGAAAUUUUUGAUCCCAAAGUUCUUUGAGCUCUGCUCUGAUGCUGUUUGGGGCAUGCGGAAAGCCUGUGCAGAAUGCUUCACGGCUGUGUCGCACAGCUCCUCCCCUGGGGUCCGCAGAACCCAGCUCUUCCCGCUCUUCAUCAGACUUGUCAGCGACCCCUGCCGAUGGGUGCACCAGGCUGCCUUCCAGUCCCUCGGCCCCUUCACUUCCACCUUUGCAAACCCCUCCAGGGCUGGCCUUUAUCUUCGAGAGGAUGGCGCCCUGAGCAUCUGGCCACUCACCCAGGAUUUGGACUCUGGUUUUGCCUCUGGCUCCCCUGCUCCCAGCAGUGGUGGUAACACUUCCCCUGCCAGGUAUGCUCUGGCUAGGGUCACCACCAGGACCCUCGAUGUACCUUAAGCACCCACCUAAAAUUUCAGCAAUUAUCUUGUCUCGAGUUUUAGUAGUGACCUUCUGGGCAAGAUGGAAUAUUAGAGCUUUAAUUAUGUAAAGAAGCAAAAAGUAAUUGCAAUAAUGAUUUUGAAACAUGACUACUGGGUUAUAAAUAAUGAAGCUACUAUGUCUCCUAAAUUUAGAUAAAAUAUUCAUUGAGAUUAGUGAUUAAAUAACCUAUAAAGAACAUUUUCUCUUACUUUUUGAUGAAUGAAGUUCUCUGGGUAAUUUACUUAGGGAAAAAUGUGAAGUCUCCCAAAUGUACUUUUUUGGAGGUUGGGUUACAUGUACAUAAAGGCGACACUCCUGACCAACAGCGGUAGACCCUCCAGUGUUUGCUAAUAUGGCGCUGGAUCUUGGCUUUGUCAUGUCUUUCCUCUGAGGCUGAUGCGUAUACACCAGCCAUCCUAUUUGAGGUCGUUUGUAAAUGUCUCUCCAUUGUCGCUAGCGUGCAGGCAUGUGAGAGUGGGUAACUGAUGCCUCACAGAAUACAAAUCCUUCCGAGGUUGGCCCAUCCUCCCUCCAUCCCACUUCCAUCAGAGUUCAUUGAGCUCCUGCUGUAUGGCAGGCCCAUGGGCAGUGUCUUCCUCAAGACCUCAAAGUGGUUAACAAAUAGCCACCUCUUACCAGUUUCAGCGCCUUUUGUUUUCUAAUGCCUGCCCUCUGGUGGAGGUACUCAUGAGCAGGAAAUGGAUGAAAUGUACCGAAGGUGCUCCAGCGGAAGUCCAGGCCGGCUCAGCCCUGGAGUAUAGUGGAGAGAACGGCUGAACUUUCAAGUGGUGUUUUCAGUGCCCAUCAUACUCCCGGCGGGGCAGUGGGGGUUGACAAACCUCUUAUCCUCUCGUGAGAUUUUAGUCAGCUGACACCAGGAGACACAAAGAGGGGCCAGUGGUCAGCUAGGAAGUAGAGGACUGGGUGAGGAUGUGGUUCUCAUGUUUUUCCCUGUGGCUUUCAGUCUGUUACACAGUAUUAAAAGUUUGCUUCCCUCAGUUUAACUCGUUCAGCAAAGCCUGUGCGGAGCGAGCCAGAGCUACCUGUGGAAGGGACCUCAGCGAAAACCAGUGAUUGCCCACACAGCAGUAGCUCCUCUGACGGCCCAGCGGAAAGCCCUGUGGAAAGCUGUGUGUCGGCUGGAGCUGAGUGGACCAGGGUUUCCCCAGAGACCAGCGCCUGCUCAAAGCUUUCUGACAUGAAUGACCUCCCCAUCAGCAGCUACCCUGGAUCAGAUUCCUGGGCCUGCCCAGGGAACACUGAGGAUGUGUUCAGUCAUUUUCUUUAUUGGUGAACUCCUCUCCCUGACAUAAGCAAGGACUUAGAGCUGCUUCUGAGUGAGGCUGGGCCUCAGGAGGACGACUGCAGCAGACCUGGGGUUGUGCACAACAGCUGUGUGGCCCGGAGUGAGAUUCAGAAAGUCCUUGGUAGCUUGCAGGAGCAUCUGAUGAAUGAUCCAGAUGUUCAAGCUCAAGUUCAGGUAUUAUCCGCUGCACUGAGAGCUGCACAGCUCGACUGCGUGAAUGAAGCUGAGAGCAAGCCAACAGCAGGCCUAAAGGAAGUGUCCAUUUCACAUCCCAGCUCUGCCUCUGACAAUCAGAUCGCUCUGGCGGCCUCAUCAUCUCAGGAUGAGCUCUUUGUGGCCAGGAUAUUACAAAGCCCAGUAAGUAUUUGCCGUAUCCCUCAGCCACCGAGGAUGUGACAGAAAUCACAAAGCAGCAUUUUCUCUUAUUAAUAUAUCCCAGCAGAGAUGAUAAAUGGCAAAUUUCAUUUUAUUCUUAAGGUCAUGUUUUGGAUAACUAGACAACCAAUCAAUCAGGUGAUUGAUAGUGCCGACGCGCUCCCACGAAGACGGGUGGGCACCAGAAAGUACCUUCCCUCUUCUCCAGAGAUGACAAGAACUUCUUCUUUGGGGAGGUUAACCAUGUAAAUGCUCUGUGUCACUGCUAACAGACAUCAACAUCUUUUAAUAAUAGUGGAGGGUGAAUUCAGGCAGUUCCUGGAAUUUCAAGUGGACGAGGCCUCCCAGAGCAGCUGUCACACCAGCCGCCCAUUUGGUAGGCGCUCUGGCAUACGUGGAUGCUCCAGUGCUGGUCCUGGCAUGCUGUUUCUCUUUCUUUUGAAAAAGCACCAGUGACCCCCUUCCUCCUGUGGGUGGAACCAGCCCCUUGUGAGACCACGGCCCCAAAGCUGGAGUGAAGAGGGGCCCAUGAUUUAUUUCUUCAGGUUUCUCCAGGAGCUUGGGUCAACCCCUUGUAGCUGGAGGUUCUUGAGCUGUCCUAGUUUCUACUAAGCUUCCACUUGGACCACUUUAAGUUGGGGUCUUCCACAGGUAGGGGGGCAGAAUGGAGGAUUAAAAUGAGGGAGGAGUCUGUGGUCAUACAGUCAUUGGGAUAGCACCGUGUCAUUAUCAUGUGCCAUGAUGGAUAAUCUCUUCAAUCUCAUGGUCUCCAGGGCCUAAAUACCAGUUGUUUCUCUAUUCAUACAGUUUAGAACUUGAUUUCAGUGAUUAACACCUCCCUUACCCCUUAGGCCUGCUCUAAUAAAGCAAAAUAAAACAUUUUAGAACUCAAACAUAAAAUGUGUAGGAGUUGGUUAUCUGUGAUUAAUAAGAAAUGGGGUGAUAUCCUCUUCUGCUGGUUUGUUGCUAAAAAAAUUAGCAAGAAAGCUCAUUAUUGUCAACCUUGUUACCUAGAGUGCAAAAGUUGCAAGUGUUAAGUAGAAGGGUGUGACCACAUUUACCUUGGUGGGGAUGUGAUAGUAUUUGGACUUCUUUAUCAUAGAGGUGAAAAAAAAAAAAAAGAA
ensembl:lncRNA novel transcript